rnacentral:rRNA from 1 species
UACGUAGGGGGCGAGCGUUGUCCGGAGUUACUGGGCGUAAAGCGCUUGUAGGCGGUCCACCAAGUUUGGGGUGACAGUAGCCGACUUAAUCGGCAAAGUGCCUCAAAGACUGGCGGACUUGAGGGCCACAGAGGGACAUGGAACUCCAGGUGUAGUGGUGAAAUGCGUAGAUAUCUGGAAGAACACCAAAGGCGAAGGCAGUGUCCUGGGUGGUCGCUGACGCUGAGAGGCGAAAGCCAGGGGAGCGAACGGG